rnacentral:rRNA from 1 species
GAUUAACGCUGGCGGCGUGCCUAACACAUGCAAGUCGAGCGGCAGCGAGUUUUACACUGAAUUCUGGAAGCUUCUGGUUUGAAGAGAAGAUUUAUUCAAGAAUUUUGUGUAAAAUGUCGGCGAGCGGCGGACGGCUGAGUAACGCGUGGGAACGUACCCCAAAGUGAGGGAUAACGCAUCGAAAGGUGUGCUAAUACCGCAUAUGGUCUUCGGAUUAAAGCCUUCGGGCGCUUUGGGAACGGCCUGCGUAAGAUUAGAUAGUUGGUGGGGUAAUGGCCUACCAAGUCGACGAUCUUUAACUGGUUUGAGAGGAUGAUCAGUCAGACUGGAACUGAGACACGGUCCAGACUCCUACGGGAGGCAGCAGUGAGGAAUCUUCCACAAUGGGCGAAAGCCUGAUGGAGCAACGCCGCGUGCAGGAUGACGGCCUUCGGGUUGUAAACUGCUUUUAUAAGCGAGGAUUAUGACAGUAACUUAUGAAUAAGGAUCGGCUAACUACGUGCCAGCAGCCGCGGUCAUACGUAGGAUCCGAGCGUUAUCCGGAGUGACUGGGCGUAAAGAGUUGCGUAGGUGGUUCGAUAAGCGAAUAGUGAAAUCUGGUGGCUCAACCAUUCAGACUAUUAUUCGAACUGUUGAACUCGAGAGCAGAAGAGGUAGCUGGAAUUUCUAGUGUAGGAGUGAAAUCCGUAGAUAUUAGAAGGAACACCGAUGGCGUAGGCAGGCUACUGGGCUGUUUCUGACACUGAGGCACGAAAGCGUGGGGAGCGAACCGGAUUAGAUACCCGGGUAGUCCACGCCGUAAACGAUGGAUACUAGCUGUUUGGGGUAUCGACCCCCUGAGUAGCGAAGCUAACGCGUUAAGUAUCCCGCCUGUGGAGUACGAUCGCAAGAUUAAAACAUAAAGGAAUUGACGGGGACCCGCACAAGCGGUGGAUCAUGUUCUUUAAUUCGAUGAUAACCGAUAAACCUUACCAGGUCUUGACAUCCUUGGAAUCUUUCAGAAAUGAGAGAGUGCUUUUUAAGAGCCAAGUGACAGGUGAUGCAUGGCCGUCGUCAGCUCGUGUCGUGAGAUGUUUGGUUAAGUCCAUCAACGAGCGCAACCCUUGUCAGUAGUUGUAUUUUUCUACUGAGACUGCCCCGGCAACGGGGAGGAAGGAGGGGAUGACGUCAGGUCAGUAUUUCCCUUACGUCCUGGGCUAGAAACGUGAUACAAUGGCUAGUACAAUGCGCAGCGAAGCCGCGAGGUGAAGCAAAUCGCAUCAAAGCUAGUCCCAGUUCGGAUUGUAGGCUGAAACUCGCCUGCAUGAAGUCGGAAUCGCUAGUAAUCGCAGAUCAGCAUGCUGCGGUGAAUACGUUCCCGGGUCU